UACGUAGGGGGCCAGCGUUGUCCGGAAUCAUUGGGCGUAAAGAGCGCGUAGGCGGCCAGGCAAGUCCGGUGUGAAAGUCACAGGCUCAACCUGUGAAUGCCGCUGGAAACUGUCUGGCUAGAGUCCGGAAGGGGCGAGUGGAAUUCCUGGUGUAGCGGUGAAAUGCGCAGAUAUCAGGAGGAACACCGAUAGCGAAGGCAGCUCGCUGGGACGUUACUGACGCUGAGACGCGAAAGCGUGGGGAGCAAACAGG
rnacentral:rRNA from 1 species